UGUAGGUGGAAACGGCCGUGGAGGAGGAGGAUGAGGUAGCCAACACUGUAUAAAUAUAUCUAUUUUUUAUUUUAUUUGGGUAGCCCCCAAAAUAUUGGGACAUACAAACAAAACACAACUCUGUUCCGCAGAGUAGCUGUUGACAUUAUAGUUACGCAAGCACUUUGUUGACUCUAGAGAACCUCGGGCCAAUCGCACAUCCCCGUGACGGCGACUUUGCGUUCGGAUGUCAUCCAUAUCAAUUUUCGAUGCCAGUUUCUGUGCUUACCAUAGUGACCACGGGUAAUGGGGAAUCAGGGUUCCGUACAGAGACCCUGAGAAAAGGCUACCAUGUGCAAGGAAGGCAGCA